rnacentral:tRNA from 1 species
GUUUUAAUAGUUUAAAGAAAACAAUGAUCUUGUAAAUCAUAAAUAGAUAUAAUUAUCUUUAAAACU